AGCGGAUUAGCGGCGGACGGGUGAGUAACACGUGAGUAACCUGCCUUAGACAUUGGGAUAGCCUCGGGAAACCGGGAUUAAUACCAAAUAAAAUCAUAAUGACACAUGUCAUAACGAUCAAAACUCCGGUGGUCUAAGAUGGACUCGCGUCCCACUAGCUAGUUGGUAGAGUAAAAGCCUACCAAGGCGACGAUGGGUAGCCGGCCUGAGAGGGUGAACGGCCACAUUGGAACUGAGAAACGGUCCAA
rnacentral:rRNA from 1 species